rnacentral:rRNA from 1 species
GUAGGGAAUAUUGCGCAAUGGGCGAAAGCCUGACGCAGCCAUGCCGCGUGAAUGAUGAAGGUCUUAGGAUUGUAAAAUUCUUUCACCGGGGACGAUAAUGACGGUACCCGGAGAAGAAGCCCCGGCUAACUUCGUGCCAGCAGCCGCGGUAAUACGAAGGGGGCUAGCGUUGCUCGGAAUUACUGGGCGGAAAGGGCGCGUAGGCGGACAGUUUAGUCAGAGGUGAAAGCCCAGGGCUCAACCGUGGAAUUGCCUUUGAUGCGGGGUGUCUUGGGGACGGGAGAGGUGAGUGGAACUCCGAGUGUAGAGGUGAAAUUCGUAGAUAUUCGGAAGAACACCAGUGGCGAAGGCGACUCACUGGCCCGUUACUGACGCUGAGGCGCGAAAGCGUGGGGAGCAAACAGGAUUAGAAACCCCGGUAGUCC